rnacentral:rRNA from 1 species
UACGGAGGGUGCAAGCGUUGCUCGGAAUUAUUGGGCGUAAAGGGUGUGUAGGUGGCGCCGUAAGUCGGGUGUGAAAUUUCGGAGCUUAACUCCGAAACUGCAUUCGAUACUGCGGUGCUUGAGGGCUGGAGAGGAGACUGGAAUUUACGGUGUAGCAGUGGAAUGCGUAGAUAUCGUAAGGAAGACCAGUGGCGAAGGCGGGUCUCUGGACAGUUCCUGACACUGAGACACGAAGGCCAGGGGAGCAAACGGG